rnacentral:rRNA from 1 species
GACGAACGCUGGCGGCGUGCUUAACACAUGCAAGUCGAACGGAAAGGCCCUGAUUGCAGGGUACUCGAGUGGCGAACGGGUGAGUAACACGUGGGUGAUCUGCCCUGCACUUCGGGAUAAGCCUGGGAAACUGGGUCUAAUACCGGAUAGGAGCUAUUUUUAGUGUGAUGGUUGGAAAGUUUUUUCGGUGUAGGAUGAGCUCGCGGCCUAACAGCUUGUUGGUGGGGUAAUGGCCUACCAAGGCGACGAGGUGUAGCCGGCCUGUGAGAGUGGACGGCCAUACUGACUCUGACAGACGGCCCAAACUCCUACGGGAGGCAGCUGUGGGGAAUAUUGCACCAUGCGCGCAAGCCGGGUGCAGCGACGCCGCGUGGGGGAUGACGGCCUUCGUGUUGUAGACUCCCUUCGCUAGGGACGAAGCUUGUUGUGACGGUACCUAGAGAAGAAGCACCGGCUAACUACGUG